AUCGCUUCUCAGCCUUUUGGCUAAGAUCAAGUGUAGGAGCAAUUAGGAUGAAAUGAUCUCAGGCUAAUUCUAUAUUUAGGUUGGUAUAAGGUAGGGGGUUUCAAUAGCAACAGGAUUUUACAACAGUGAUGACUUAGUUACUUUUU
rnacentral:snRNA from 1 species